rnacentral:lncRNA from 1 species
GUUUUUGGAUGUUCGUAUGAUGGUGUUGGUGGUGGUGGUGAUGGGGUUUUUGGGUGUUCAUAUGACGGUGUUGGCGGUGGUGGUGAUUUAGGCUUGUAAGUAGGUGGCUCGUAAUACACCGGGGGUGGUGGAGAAUAAUAAACUGGUGGUGGUGGGGACGAUGGAGAUGGGUGGUAAUAUACGGGUGAGGGUGGAGGAGGUGAAUGAUGAGUUACAGGUGAAAUUUUGUGAGUAGGUGGUGGUGGACUUCUAUGUCGAUACGCUGGGGACUUUUUGUAAGGUGCUGGUGGAGGAAGAGGAGUUGAUUUAGGUGGUGGCGGAGAUCGCUUGUUAUGCGAACCCGAAGACUUCCAAGUAGGUGGUGGUGGUCCUCUUGGUUUUGGUGUUGGUGUUGGCUUUGGUUUCGUCGAAGGAGACGUAGCAUAUGGGCUAUAACACUUCGAUUUCUUACAAUCAUACGGUUUUGCAUCAUCCGAAGAGCAUUCUUUAGCAGAUCUUUGAUUCU